rnacentral:rRNA from 1 species
UACGAGGGGGGCGAGCGUUGUUCGGAUUCAUUGGGCGUAAAGGGUGCGUAGGCGGCGCGGUAAGUCGGAUGUGAAAUCCCCGGGCUUAACCUGGGAAUGGCAUUUGGGACUGCAAGGCUGGAGUGCGGCAGAGGAGACUGGAAUUCCUGGUGUAGCAGUGAAAUGCGUAGAUAUCAGGAGGAACACCGAUGGCGAAGGCAGGUCUCUGGGCUGACACUGACGCUCAUGCACGAAAGCGUGGGGAGCAAACAGG